AGAAUAAGAAGACAACUUUCUGGAGUUGCUGUGUCUUUCUACUGUGUGGGGCCUGGAUUGAACUCUGGUUGUCAGACUUAGGGAGAUCUAAGUCAGACAGACCCAAGACUUGUAACUUCAACACAGAAAAGGAUUUCAAAACUAGCAAUUAUUAAUCAGAGUUGGAGAUUUUCAAAACAAGAGUUAAGACAAAGGAAAGGAAAAGGCCUUGAAUCAUUGCCAAUUGUGUCGAAGUUCUUGCUUCUUAAUGGAUGAGAGGCUUCAGUGAA